AAAAGGGCAUCGGCCUAGAUGAUGGCAGGCUCGUAAUUAGGCCCGUAGCCCCUUCGCCGUCAGGCACAGCACUGGUCGCCGGCUCGCCGCCGUCGCCCCACUUCCACUCCACACCAGGGCACCGCGCCACGGGCACCAGUCGGGGAAAAACCUUGCUCUGCUGCAGUGCUGCGCUGCCCCCAAUCCGUUGUCCAGCUCCGGUUUCGAGGCGGAGGCCGAGGGGGAGGAGGCGGAGGCGCGGACAAGUCGCGGAACAGCGCCGAGAAUUAGGUAUGUCAUGUGAUUCCAUUUAUGUGUAUUUCUCAGGCCCUCAGGCGCCAACUCGCGUACCAUGGCAUAAUAACGUUGUGUUAGUCUCCGGAGAUGCUCAGAUGAUUUGGUAGAACAAACAAAUACUUUGAUUUGAAUCCACGGCCUAGCGAGACAGAUUGGGGAAUAAAAGGCGGAACUCUGUGUAAGCAGACCACUUGUCCUAGGAUUUGUGUGGACUUUAAUGUACGAGCACCGAUUAAUCUACCACCGAGUUCUCAGAUGGAAGGGGAUGCUACAUGCCUGAAAACUAUUACCCGUAGCAAACGACUAAUAUUGGAAACUGAAAAUGAUACACUUACUGAAUUCCACUCUGCGAACGAUCAAUGACGAUGCAGUUAAUCAAAUUACAAAACAUUAUCUAAGCCGAUGCAACAAUAACACAGUAGGCGUUUCCCUUUCACCGUCCAGAUAAGAGGCUUGUCUCUGACAUCCCAUUGGUAUAGCCAGACUGGAAGGAGCUCCCCUCGUUGCUUGCUCCUGAAAUCAUCAGCUGGAACUGCCUUGGAAUUUCACUGUCCAUGGAGUAGGUACGUCGAGGGGUCGCAGAAGCAGACUGCUUUUCACUUGAAACCGUCGGCAACAACCCUUUGAGCCUCGUGGCAACCACAGUCAUGGUUGGCCUGUCGAUGGCUGCGUUUUCCACACAGUUCAUGGCAAGGUCCACCACGCUCUGCAGGGAACUGGCAUCGUACUGAUCUAGCAGCCUCUUAUCUACAACAUCAUGAAUGCUUCCCAUAGCUAUCUUUUGGCGCACCCAAUUUGGUAGGUGGACAGUCUGAGGGUCCAUUAAUAGUGGGGGUUGUCCGGUGAAGAUCUCCAAGAGCACGAUGCCGAAGCUGUAAACGUCUGUCUUGACAGUGAUUUGGUAAGAUGCAUGGUACUCGGGGUCGAUGUACCCAGGAGUGCCAGCAGCAGCAGCAGUAGAUAUGUGCGUGCGAGCAUCGUUAAAAGCCCGCGAAAGCCCAAAAUCAGAUAUUAUCCCCACCAGAUUCUUGUCCAGAAGUAUGUUGGGGGUCUUCACAUCUCUGUGCACUAUUGAUGGGGUGCAUAACUCAUGUAGAUACUCCAGUCCUGCAGUUUAUUCAAACCCGUCCUUUGUCAACACACACAUACAUGACCUAGAAAAGAAGAAAACACACACACACAUAGAUACAUGGCCUAAAGGCAAACACACAACUGAAAUGCGGACCUUGUGCAGCAUCAAGUGCAAUAUGGAGUCGUUGUUCCCAAUUCAAACUAUAGUCACCUCCUGCAUCAGUACACACCAAAUUAAUGUGACUUCCAUUUGAUUUGCUCAUGGUACUAGCAUAAAUACCAAUUUCUGUAAUUUUUGCACAUAUGUAAGCUAAUACAUGCACUUUGAUCUUCAAGAGAUAACUGCUUUUCCUUCUCUCUACCGGAGCAUUUUUAUGUACAAAUCUAAUCAACGAGUGAACCAAGUUAUUGACAUAUUCUUUGAAUACAUACCUCUCUAGUUUUUGGUUUGUUGCUGGCUUUGAAAUAUGUACUUGUUUAUAAUUUGUGGCUAUCAUGCCAUGUUUAGGACCUAUGACUAAGAAUGUAACUGUGGCAGCCCCAGUUGUUUACCUGAUAUUUAUGAUCAUGCCAUGACUAUGACAUUAAGAAUAUGCAGCUCUGCGAAUGCAGCUAUGGUGUCCGCAAUUGUUAGUACAGUAUCUAUACAGAGUAAAUUUGGUCUAUCAACUCAACUAUAUUGAAUAGCAACGUAACACUUUAGUCAAUCAACUACACGUUUAACAUGGAAUUCAGUUUAACAUGAAAAUCCUGAUUGCAGUACAAUGUCAAAGCCAGAUUAGCUUGGUUUUAUAGUUUAUAUUUUUAUAUUAAGACUAGGUCAUGUCAAAUUAGUGAUAAUAAUUAACUGCAAGCCUAAGUCAGCUAUGCUUGAUAGGAACACUAAUAAAAGUUAAGGGAAAACCCACCUCUUAAAAGCUGUUGAAGAUUUCCUCUGGGCAUGAAAUCAUAAACGAGUGCUAGGCAAUUCUUGUUUUGGCAAUAUCCUUGCAAAGUCACGAGAUUCUUGUGAUGAACUUUGGACAAGGUUUGCACCUGCAAUAAUUGAUAGUUACCAAAUAUCCUAGACCUGAAGCCAGUUGCAUUAUUUUAUCGAAUAUGGACUGUGGAAAUGGUUUUGUAUGUUUUGCAACCUUAAUUUUGUCUUGAAGAAAGUAAUGACGUGGCCUAGUUGGUUUCGUGUUAUACCUCAGGGAGGAAGUCUGUUGACUCUGCUAUUGAUUUCUCCAUAAGCACCUUGACAGCUACUUCAUCGUCAUUUUCCAGUGUGCCAUGAUAAACAGUACCAAAACCUCCUUUUCCAACGACUGAUUGGAAGUCGUUUGUUAUGUGCUUCAGCUCUGCGUACGUGAACCGUCUGAUAUCAAUAUGUAGUGGAGUUUCCUCUUCAUACAUAGAAUCUUCAUCAUCUCCCGACUUCCCUGUAGAGUCAAGAAGUUGUUUUUUAGAUGGAAGUUUAGGUACGAAGCUGCUGUCUUCUGUCUACCACCUAUUGCAUUGAUGAAAGGGAAAUUUAGAGCAUAGAAUUUUGUUUUACCUUUCCAGUAUAACUUCCAGAGUAUGCCCAUCACUACUAGGAGGGAUACCAGUACCACAGGAACUAUCACUGCGAUAAGCAUGGUAGAUGUGGUGUUUUUCUUCUUCUUUGAACAGUACGUAUCUUUGACGUUUGAGCAUACAGGAUUGCCUUCUAAUCUAGUGAUACAAUUAAAUAUCAUGCGUAAAAAAUAAGCUCAAAAUAUCUCAGCUUCUCUAUAAAGCUAUGAUUAAUUGAUUAUAACACACCUUUAUGUUCUAACACAACUAACUUGCUAAUAGUGCUUCUAAACAUCUCUACCCUCCAAAAGAACAAACUACAUGGUUUCUAAAUCAUGUGCAGUUACUAAUAGGUCCUUAUCUACCUCUCAUUUUGAAAGCCCAUAGAUGACAAAAGUAUUUAUAGUCACUAGAUGCUAGUACAUGUAAUUAAAGGCACAUUUGGAUCGAUGAAAUGCACAGGGAAGUGUGUCUCAAAAGAUUUUUUUGUGGCACUCAGAUUGGCCACCACAAUUUGGUAAAAAAUACCAAAAGUUUAUGUAUAUGCCAAGUGGGGAUGCUCUGGCAUAGUGCUAGCAAAGUGUGGCACGCCACAAGCAUGCCACUAACCAAACAGUGGCCAGAAAAAGGCAAAUUCAGAUGCGUUUUAACCAAUGCACUCCCAUAUGUGCAAAGAUGCUGCUAGACCUGGAAUUGUUUUCUUUGAUAACCAACUUUAUGCUGAGCCUAUUCCUUUUAGGUGUAGUUGUUUAGUUUUAAGAUAAAAAAUCUAGUAAGGAAUUGUGCAAUGGAGCAUGGCAAAACCUUAAGUCCAGCGAACCGGCCUGAAAUCUUUGAAGAAUAGAAUCAGGGAUUGGUCCAUCUAGCUUGUUAUUUGACAAGUCACUGAAAAACAAUAGUAAAAAUCAUUCAUCUAAAAUUUAUACCAUCAGCCACAAAUGUAAUCAGCACUACCAUCAACCACAGAUGUAAUCAGCAUGUAGACUUACAGAAAUUUAAGUGACUUUAAUUGAUAGUCUGGAAUAGCUCCCGUCAAAUUGUUGUGUGAUAAAUCCCUAUAUAUAUAUUUUUUUGUUAUUAGGGUCACAAAAGAUGUCAACAUAAUUUCAUUGAGCCCAUCAAUAUUAUGUGGUGGGCACCACUUACAAGUUUUCAAGCGAUGUCAUGUUCAUGAAUGAUAUGGCAAAUCCACCCCUCAGUCUGCUGGUAGACAGAUUUCUGCAAAACCAACUCAUUUUAAUACAAGUCAUCUUAAUCUAGUGAUAGCAUCGAGCUAACAUGGAUUUUGAAGAUUACAUAAAUAUCCUUAUGUGGUUCAGGUCUACACUAAAUUACGUCUGCUUUCAGGUUUCAACUAAAUUACAUGUGUUUUCAAGAUCUUAGCCAGUAAGUCACGUGACUGAGUUUCUUCCUAGGUGAUAUAUGUAUAAAAACAUGAACAUAUCUGGAGCAACAUGUAAACCAAAAGGAGCUUUUGCGGGAGGGUUAAAUUGCUUGGGGUUGAUGCAAUGCACUUCAAAGGUUUAGAAGAUUGAAUUGGAAUGUUUAGAUAUUUCAAAAUGUAUAUGAUAUAAGUCCUGGUUAUGCUCUUACACUGUGACAAUCCUUGGAUUCUGGUUGCUCUUAGAGUAGUCGCAAGUCAAACCUUCCCAGGAAUACUCUCUCGGGGAGCAUGGAUCUCCAUUCCAGUUUCUUUGUGCCAAAUUGUAGUGCGUCUUGACUUCUUUUAUAUACUUGGCUACAACAGCAAAAGUCAAUGGAAACAAAUAUGCACGGCAUAUAGUAGCUGUAUAAGUUGGGUAUGGGCGGCUUAUAUUAUAUGUUUUUAGAAGAUGAAAAGAUUAGCUUAAGAAGCUGCAAUAUUGUNNNNNNNNNNNNNNNNNNNNNNNNNNNNNNNNNNNNNNNNNNNNNNNNNNNNNNNNNNNNNNNNNNNNNNNNNNNNNNNNNNNNNNNNNNNNNNNNNNNNNNNNNNNNNNNNNNNNNNNNNNNNNNNNNNNNNNNNNNNNNNNNNNNNNNNNNNNNNNNNNNNNNNNNNNNNNNNNNNNNNNNNNNNNNNNNNNNNNNNNNNNNNNNNNNNNNNNNNNNNNNNNNNNNNNNNNNNNNNNNNNNNNNNNNUCAUUUAUCAUCUAUGAUCUUCCCAUGGCACAUUGGCAUCAAUUGACCUUAAGAAGAUGGCUUACUCAGGAGUUGAAUGUACAACUAAAUCUGUUGGUUGAUAAAUUUAAUCCUAUUACUCUAGUAAAGAUCGUGACAAUGUCAACUGGAGUUUGUUAAUCUUUAGGGGUCGAGAUAGCGAGACCUCGGUCAUUAGCAUUGGAAACUGCAAGAUGAUCAUGUGAAUCUGUCAUACAUGGCAAAUGUGCAAUGCAUGUGCAGUAUGUAAAUUAAUCUUACCAUCGCCAGAGUCAGUGGUGAGAUUAUCCAUCCGGACGAGCGAGUACACCUCCAAAGCGUUGAUGAGCGGCGGAAGUCUCGAGCUGCUCGUCUUGUUCAAGGUGAAGAAUACAUCGGCGUUUUGCAGGAAGUGCCCGAUCUUGUACUUGCUGUCCAUCUGGAAUCGCAAUGGGGAAAAGUCUGGAAACAGCAAACCUUCGGCGCUGUAGAUGUCAAACCUCCUGCUCAGGCUGCUGUUGCUGAUAUCAGCAAAGUGAAAGAUCGGGAGAAGCUGUAGGCUCUUGGUGUCUAGAUUGGGACCCGCUGCCACGAUGAUGCUCGUGCUGGAGAUGUUCAUGUCUAUGGUUGAAGCCUUCUGGAAGAUGGUCGACGGCACAUUGAAGGCACUGUCGCCGGGGAGUCUCUCCACUUUUUUGUCAGUGUCAAGGUUGAUCCAGGCAUAGGAUGUGCGGGGCCAGCUCUCCCAGAACCGGUCAUAAUCGUCUGUUGGAUAUCUUUAUGGCACAGAGACUAGGAGAAUUAGAUAAAUAGCCAGCAGAGCACACUAAUCUUUUGGUAUUUUACUUAAAAAAGGCACUUGCUAUGGGAUUUAGCAAUCCCAACUUCAUACUCCAUCCGAUCCAUAUUAAUUGUCGCCGAUUUAGUUUUUCUUUUGGCAAAAUAAUCCCAGCUUCAUAUCACCUUGAGAUUUAAAUUUUGUUACGUGCAACUUACAUGUAACUGCAGCAUCUAGAAAACAAAGGACCAAACACUUUAAAUGCGUUUAAUCUAGCAAAUUAAAUUUAAGACCAUUGUCAGGCAUAAGUCAGAUCUAAUCUUAAACUAUAAUGGAUGGCAGCCUCCUCUCACCUUGUGAUAGGGUCGGUGACGUUGCCAAAUCUGAUCCGGUUAAAGUAGCUGAUUGACACUGAAGUAUUCACAAAAGGGUACAUCGUAUCUUGCAGUGGCCUCAGCUCCAACGAAGACACAAAGGGAGUCCCUGUACCAAAGUUUAUCAGACAGACUGAAAGGUUGUUGCCCGGAGCAACGGUGAGCACUUCCUUCCAUAUUGUGCUUGAUGGAUCCGUAUUUGUCAAGUUUACUGCCUCCCAGAAAUUGACACCGAUAUGGAGCCCAAACCGAAACAAAGACCCGCCCAUAGUCCUGUUCAACCUAUCGUAGUUGCCGUAAGUAAACAUGGCCCUCAAUAGAUACUUCUGACCUAUGGUGGAUGGCAGUGUAUAGCAAUUCCUUGAGCCGUCAGGGAAGCUUCUCAGGGUCUUUUGUUGCUCAUUCCCCGCACCAGCCAUGAACUCUUUCAAAAUUUCGUUGCUCAAUCCGCCGUCGACCAAUUCACCAUCAAAACGGUACGGUAUUUUUAGAGUGCUGUCGAUGUAGGCGCUACUGUUUGUGAAUCCACAAUCGAUGUUUACGAACCCUGCAUAAUGGAGAGUAUGUAUCAGUUUUACGUGCUUCGAGUUUAAGAUCUACUGAGACUCUGACAGCAUCUCUAGCACAUCCCUAGUAAUUUAAUUCUCCGUCCUAUUCCCAUCCUUUAAUUCCCUAUUUAUUAGGAAUUAAACUUUUGUCCAUCAAAUCCAUCUCCCAAAACUUAUUUUUCAAUAUAAUUUUUGCACACAAAUUCAUUUGAAACAUAAAUUUAAACUAGUUCAUUGCAUAUUAAUCAACGCCACCACAUUAAGAUCAAACCUAGCAUAUUUAAACAUACCAAUACCGACUACCAUACCAUUACAUCGACAUUGAACUAGGUAAAACAUCGACAUAAACCGGAUAGAACUAGAUACUACACAGAUAAAGACAAGCUCCAUUCCUCGUUGUCCUCGGAGAACUCCUUCUCAGGGGAGAUGGGGAUCACCCCCUCCCUGCCCCGUCGGAGGGGCCGCCCUUGGGGACAUCAUAAGAGCAUUACCUAUUUGAGUACCUAUAGUUUUGUGCCGUUAAUUUGAAUGUAGAAGUACCUGAUAUGUCAUGUGCUUUUGCACGUACAGCUUACUAGUAUCGAGAAAAAUGGGCUAGAGGCAAAAGUUUUUGAGAGCUGUUUUCUUUUUCUUUUAACUAAAGGAAAUGAGGGAUGGGCUAGAUGGGUGUUAAUUCCCUAAACCAAAAUGUUCUGUCCAUAUAUAACUUUCAGAAAUGCUCUAAGCAAUGAUCAUGACAUGUUUGACUAGGCAUGCGGUAGCUACUAAUUUGUUGAUUUCUGAGGUUUUCAGUAAAGUGAGAUUUCUUAAGUUGCACGCUGAAGUAAACUGAACUGUGGGUGCAGAUGGAGCAGAGCUUAGAAAGGUGCUGGAUCUGGAAGGGGAAAAGCUCAGAGGAUAUGACAUGAAUUACCAUCGGUAGUAGACUGGCCAUGUACUUGAAUC
rnacentral:lncRNA from 1 species